rnacentral:rRNA from 1 species
GCUCAGAACGAACGCUUGGCGGCAGGCCUAAGGCAUGCAAGUCGAACGAUGAGGCUCUUCGGAGGUACAUCAGUGGCGCACGGGUGAGUAACGCGUGGGAACCUACCUAGUAGUGGGGAAUAACGGAAGGAAACUUUCGCUAAUACCGCAUAAUCCCUCCGGGGGAAAGAUUUAUCGCUAUUAGAUGGGCCCGCGUUGGAUUAGUUUGUUGGUAAGGUAACGGCUUACCAAGACUAUGAUCCAUAGCUGGUCUGAGAGGAUGAUCAGCCACACUGGAACUGAGACACGGUCCAGACUCCUACGGGAGGCAGCAGCUAGGAAUAUUGCGCAAUGGAGGAAACUCUGACGCAGCCAUGCCGCGUGAGUGAAGAAGGCUUUCGGGUUGUAAAACUCUUUCAGUAGUGAAGAUGAUGACUGUAACUACAGAAGAAGCUCCGGCUAACUUCGUGCCAGCAGCCGCGGUAAUACGAAGGGAGCUAAGCGUUGUUCGGAUUUACUGGGCGUAAAGCGCAC